UAAAAUGAGCCCGACCCCAGUUUAACGGGAUUUUAGCGCUAUAAUACAAGAUGGCCGCCUCACAUCAGCUGGCUUUUGACAGCAACUCAUGAACCCUCUGAGACGAGUGUUUGUUGCCUGUUCUUACAUUUUCUCAGAAAAAUGUAUUAUGAUUUAUGUGUAAUUAAAUUGACAAGCUAAAAUUAUUAUGAAGUGGCGCAAAACCAAAAUAAUAUGUGUUGUGUGAAAUGCGAGCUACUUAUAUACCUAAACUGAAGGAGGUAACAGACUUUUGAUCGUGUCGAAGAAAAAGUGCAUUAUAUAGGGAACGAGUUCAGAGGCGAGGUGGCAGAAAUAGGUAAAAAUGUUGUCUGGCAGUAAUGAAACUUUUAAUGAAGCGAUGCAACCUAUGCUGGCAUGUUACUGGAAAAGUUGUGUCCAAUUUGGCCAUCAAGUGAAAAAAAGUCAUCACAGUUUGCUGCCUCCCUCUGCUGGCUCGGCCCCAAGCUGAAGAUGGAAUUGUCAGAAUCUGAAAAAGACACAUCAGACAUAAAUAAAAUAUUUUUAAUGAACAUGUUUUUCUUUCAUUUCUUGCUAUUUAUGUGAUAGUCCUAAUUUUAAUUAUAGAUUGUACUAGUAAGUAAAUUUAUUUAAGAAGAAACACAAGUUUUACAUAUUACACGGGCAAUGUCCGGUGGACAAGUGCCCAAACUAGGCUAGGAGUGUUUACUCCACAGUACAGAAGACAAUCUUAUUAACUCUCUUUAUAUAGCAUGAUUUAUAAUAACAUAGAUAACCUAAAAAUUACAUUUUAGUUUUGUUCAUGAGUAAACUACAUCAAGACACGUAUGUACCUACUAGCUUUUGCCCGCGGCUUCGCUUAGAAAGUGGAAAAAAGUUGCCUAUGUCACUCUCCAUCCCUUCACCUAUCUCCACUUAAAAAAUCACGUCAAUUUGUCUCCGUUUUGCCGUGAAAGACGGACAAACAACACUUUCCCAUUUAUAAUAUUAGUAAGAACAAAAUAACCACAAGCAGGUUUGAUUUAUUACUAUUAGAGUAGGUCUAGGUAUCGUUAUCGUUCAACUCAAGUUCAU